rnacentral:rRNA from 1 species
UUCCGGUUGAUCCCGCCGGAGGCCACUGCUAUCGGGGUUCGAUUAAGCCAUGCGAGUCGAGAGGUGUAAGACCUCGGCGCACUGCUCAGUAACACGUGGACAACCUACCCUCAGGAGGGGGAUAACCCCGGGAAACUGGGGAUAAUACCUCAUAGACCAGGGAUGCUGGAAUGCCUCCUGGUUCAAAGGUCCGCCGCCUGAGGAUGGGUCUGCGGCCGAUUAGGUAGUUGUUGGGGUAACGGCCCAACAAGCCUUUGAUCGGUACGGGUUGUGAGAGCAAGAGCCCGGAGAUGGAUUCUGAGACACGAAUCCAGGCCCUACGGGGCGCAGCAGGCGCGAAAACUUUACAAUGCGAGAAAUCGUGAUAAGGGAACCCCGAGUGCCCGUAAAUUCGGGCUGUCCGCCAGUGCAAAUAGCUGGUGAAGAAAGGGCCGGGCAAGACCGGUGCCAGCCGCCGCGGUAAUACCGGCGGCUCGAGUGGUGGCACUAUUACUGGGCUUAAAGCGUCCGUAGCUUGAUUGUUAAGUCUCUUGGGAAAUCCACCGGCUCAACCGAUGGGCGUUCAGGAGAAACUGGCAAUCUAGGGACCGGGAGAGGUGAGAGGUACUCCAGGGGUAGGAGUGAAAUCCUGUAAUCCUUGGGGGACCACCUGUGGCGAAGGCGUCUCACUAGAACGGCUCCGACAGUGAGGGACGAAAGCUGGGGGAGCAAACCGGAUUAGAUACCCGGGUAGUCCCAGCUGUAAACGAUGCGCGUUAGGUGUAUCGGUGACCACGAGUCAUCGAGGUGCCGAAGGGAAACCGUGAAACGUGCCGCCUGGGAAGUACGGUCGCAAGGCUGAAACUUAAAGGAAUUGGCGGGGGAGCGCCACAACGGGUGGAGCCUGCGGUUUAAUUGGAUUCAACGCCGGG